UACGUAGGGUGCGAGCGUUGUCCGGAAUUAUUGGGCGUAAAGGGCGCGUAGGCGGCUUUGCGUGUCUUUCGUGAAAUCCCUCGGCUCAACUGAGGACGUGCGGAAGAAACUGCAGGGCUGGAGUCCGGGAGAGGAGGGUGGAAUUCCCAGUGUAGCGGUGAAAUGCGUAGAUAUUGGGAGGAACACCGGUGGCGAAGGCGGCCCUCUGGACCGGUACUGACGCUGAGGCGCGAAAGCGUGGGGAGCAAACAGG
rnacentral:rRNA from 1 species